rnacentral:rRNA from 1 species
UACGUAGGUGGCAAGCGUUGUCCGGAAUUACUGGGCGUAAAGGGUUUGUAGGUGGCUUGCUAAGUCAGACGUGAAAUCCCUCAGCUUAACUGGGGAACUGCGUCUGAGACUGGCAAGCUUGAGUGCAGGAGAGGAACGCGGAAUUCCAGGUGUAGCGGUGAAAUGCGUAGAUAUCUGGAGGAACACCGGUGGCGAAGGCGGCGUUCUGGGCCGAAACUGACGCUGAGGAGCGAAAGCGUGGGGAGCGAACAGG